AUUGAACGCUGGCGGCAGGCCUAACACAUGCAAGUCGAACGGUGACAGGGAUCAGCUUGCUGAUUCGCUGACGAGUGGCGGACGGGUGAGUAAUGUCUGGGAAACUGCCUGAUGGAGGGGGAUAACUACUGGAAACGGUAGCUAAUACCGCAUAACGUCGCAAGACCAAAGAGGGGGACCUUCGGGCCUCUUGCCAUCGGAUGUGCCCAGAUGGGAUUAGCUAGUAGGUGGGGUAACGGCUCACCUAGGCGACGAUCCCUAGCUGGUCUGAGAGGAUGACCAGCCACACUGGAACUGAGACACGGUCCAGACUCCUACGGGAGGCAGCAGUGGGGAAUAUUGCACAAUGGGCGCAAGCCUGAUGCAGCCAUGCCGCGUGUAUGAAGAAGGCCUUCGGGUUGUAAAGUACUUUCAGCGGGGAGGAAGGGAGUAAAGUUAAUACCUGUGCUCAUUGACGUUACCCGCAGAAGAAGCACCGGCUAACUCCGUG
rnacentral:rRNA from 1 species